rnacentral:hammerhead_ribozyme from 1 species
CUCAGUUGAAGAGUCCCACAUGGGACGAAACACAUAUCCUGGAC